GGAAGGGCGGCGGUGCUACCAUGCAAGUCGAACGGGCUCGGAUUGAACCUAGUGAUUUCCGAGUUAGUGGCGGACGGGUGAGUAACGCGUGGAUAACCUGCCGUAUGCAGGGGGAUAACAGUUGGAAACAGCUGCUAAUACCGCAUAAGCGCACAGUACCGCAUGGUACGGUGUGAAAAGAUUUAUCGGCAUACGAUGGAUCCGCGUCCGAUUAGCCAGUUGGCGGGGUAACGGCCCACCAAAGCGACGAUCGGUAGCCGGCCUGAGAGGGCGGACGGCCACAUUGGGACUGAGACACGGCCCAAACUCCUACGGGAGGCAGCAGUGGGGAAUAUUGCACAAUGGGGGGAACCCUGAUACAGCGACGCCGCGUGAGUGAAGAAGUAUCUCGGUACGUAAAGCUCUAUCAGCAGGGAAGAAAAUGACGGUACCUGACUAAGAAGCCCCGGCUAACUACGUGCCAGCAGCCGCGGUAAUACGUAGGGGGCAAGCGUUAUCCGGAUUUACUGGGUGUAAAGGGAGCGUAGACGGCACUGCAAGUCCGGAGUGAAAGCCCAAGGCUUAACCAUGGGACUGCUCUGGAAACUGUGGAGCUUGAGUGCGGGAGGGGCAGGCGGAAUUCCUAGUGUAGCGGUGAAAUGCGUAGAUAUUAGGAGGAACACCGGCGGCGAAGGCGGCCUGCUGGACCGUAACUGACGUU
rnacentral:rRNA from 1 species